rnacentral:rRNA from 1 species
UCCGCAAUGGGCGAAAGCCUGACGGAGCAACGCCGCGUGAGUGAUGAAGGUCUUCGGAUCGUAAAACUCUGUUAUUAGGGAAGAACAUAUGUGUAAGUAACUGUGCACAUCUUGACGGUACCUAAUCAGAAAGCCACGGCUAACUACGUGCCAGCAGCCGCGGUAAUACGUAGGUGGCAAGCGUUAUCCGGAAUUAUUGGGCGUAAAGCGCGCGUAGGCGGUUUUUUAAGUCUGAUGUGAAAGCCCACGGCUCAACCGUGGAGGGUCAUUGGAAACUGGAAAACUUGAGUGCAGAAGAGGAAAGUGGAAUUCCAUGUGUAGCGGUGAAAUGCGCAGAGAUAUGGAGGAACACCAGUGGCGAAGGCGACUUUCUGGUCUGUAACUGACGCUGAUGUGCGAAAGCGUGGGGAUCAAACAGGAUUAGAUACCCUGGUAGUCCACGCCGUAAACGAUGAGUGCUAAGUGUUAGGGGGUUUCCGCCCCUUAGUGCUGCAGCUAACGCAUUAAGCACUCCGCCUGGGGAGUACGACCGCAAGGUGAAACUCAAAGGAAUUGACGGC